GUGUUCAUGUUGGCAGCGCAUACACUAAAAUUGGAAUGAUACAGAGAAGAUUAGCCUGGCACCUGCUCAAGGAUGACACGCACAUUCAUGAAACAUUCCAUGUAUUU